rnacentral:rRNA from 1 species
GAUGAACGCUGGCGGCGUGCCUAAUACAUGCAAGUCGAGCGAACAGACGAGGAGCUUGCUCCUCUGACGUUAGCGGCGGACGGGUGAGUAACACGUGGAUAACCUACCUAUAAGACUGGGAUAACUUCGGGAAACCGGAGCUAAUACCGGAUAAUAUAUUGAACCGCAUGGUUCAAUAGUGAAAGACGGUUUUGCUGUCACUUAUAGAUGGAUCCGCGCCGCAUUAGCUAGUUGGUAAGGUAACGGCUUACCAAGGCAACGAUGCGUAGCCGACCUGAGAGGGUGAUCGGCCACACUGGAACUGAGACACGGUCCAGACUCCUACGGAAGGCAGCAGUAGGGAAUCUUCCGCAAUGGGCGAAAGCUUGACGGAGCAACGCCGCGUGAGUGAUGAAGGUCUUCGGAUCGUAAAACUCUGUUAUUAGGGAAGAACAAAUGUGUAAGUAACUAUGCACGUCUUGACGGUACCUAAUCAGAAAGCCACGGCUAACUACGUG